CUAAGGAAUAUGUACAAAACCAGCAUAUUGUGAUCACUUUGCCACACAUUGCCACUGUGGAAUGCCCUAAAUUAUAUUAAUGGAAUUUGGUGAAUAUGUAAUGUGUUACAGGUAAAUGCUGUCCUGCAUUCAUUUGACCAAUUUAUUUUCUUCUUCUUUUUUUAUUUAUUUUUAAAAAAAAUUUAAAUUAUUUUUCAACUUUUGCAUUGAACAAAAGGCCAAUGUUCUAUUUGGAUAUGGUUUAUAAGACUGCUCAUUUUCAUGGUGUGGUCUUCCAUGAUAUCCGUAUUGCAAAGGUCAUUGUCAAAGUUAAUGAACAAAUAUACUGUUUAUUGUUUAACCCUUCUCUAGAUGAACAAGCAUGCCAACAGUUAAAUGUCCUUUUCUUUACGCUGAGCACUUCACUAAUGUGUUUAUUUUAAUGUGUUUGCUAGUUUAAAUCCAAAAACAUCAGUUAAGAUAAUUCUAAUUAUGUAGGGGGCAUGGUGGCUUAGUUAGCACGGUUGCUCCCUGUGCUUCAGAGGUUUCCCCCAGGUAGACUGGUUUCCUCCCCAGUCAUGUGUGUGCGAUUGUGCCCUGCGAGGGUUUGGUACCCCAUCCAAAGAGUCCCCUGGGAUAGGCUCCAAGCUCCCUGCAACCCUGUGUAGGAUAAACGACAAUCCAAUGCUAUUUUCAGGUUGUGGUGAGUAACAGAGACCAGGGACACAGGAUUUUUAUACUAGAUCACUAUACAGCGAGAGUUAUACUUCAUGGAGAACGAGAUGAAGUACAGAGAAACAGUCUCUCAAAGGUGGACUUUAAUGACUACGAAGGAAUGAUAAGUUUCCUGAAUGUCAACGGGAAUUAUUGGAUAUUUUUGGUGAAUACAUUUUAUAGUCCUUUUUUAAUAUAAAUGAGACACUGUUAUAUUACUCUAUUCUAUAGAGGAUGUUCAUAAUUUGGUUGGCUCGAAAAAUCACAUUGAAUAAAUGUUCAGAUGAGCAAAGACUAUUCAAACACCAACCAUCAAAAUUCAAAUAUAAACUAACCCGUACAAGGUCAUAUGCUCUUCACUGUGUCUACAUCCAUGAUUCCAUCCAUAAUUUUAACUUUCAGGCCAGACUUUUUCAAAUCGACCUCAAAGUUUUUCUUCAAAACUUUUUGUAGAUUCAUUCUAGUUUCAUCUAUUUAUUUAUUUAUUUAAUCUUGCACAGUAUUUCCAUGCAGCAUCCAGCCAGGUGUUUGUGGUAGACCCGGCAGGACAUGAUGAUGAAGCAAAAUCCAUGCAUGCAGCCACUAGAUUUCAGUAAUAUUUUUAGCUUGUUAUAUACUAUACUUACAAUAAUGGGUUACAAAUUAGAAAAAAAGCAUGACUACUUAGCCCCUAGUGUGAAGAGGCCCACUUCUUUUUGAUGUUUUCUUGUCCUGGGGUAUUGAAUGGUGAAUGAUAUGCUGUGUCCUUUUCCAUCACUGGAUCUUUAGUAAAUUAAACAAAAAAUUUGAUUUUGGACCAAACUGUCAGUACUCUCCAGUAUCAUCUUGAAAAUGUAAAAAUUUUGAAAUAUAUUUUGAAAAAAUUAUCUUCUAUCCCUCCUGUUGGUGUUCCAGAGACUUGGCAUAUAUCUUGCAGAUCUCUGGAUCCUUAACGAUUAUUUUCAUAAGAAUAAAAUGACUGGCUUCGAGUCUUUUUUACAUUUUGUAAAUAUACUAGUCUUCUCAUAAGGUUUUUUUUAAAUGCUGUCAAAUCCUUAUAAUAAUUGUACUUAUUUUCUUUUACUAUAAGUAGCAAGCAAUUCACAAUAAUUGUUAAGUGUAAAGUGAGUGAGAUAUGUAAAGACAAUAAUUACCAAAUACUACAUACAGUGCAUCCGGAAAGUAUUCACAGCGCUUCACUUUUUCCACAUUUUGUUAUGUUACAGCCUUAUUCCAAAAUGGAUUAAAUUCAUUAUUUUUCCUCAAAAUUCUACAAACAAUACCCCAUAAUUACAAUGUGAAAGAAGU